rnacentral:RNase_P_RNA from 1 species
GGAGCGGGCUGGACGGCCGCCCUGGGGCUACGCCCCGGGGAGGAAAGUCCGGACUCCACAGGGCAGGGCGCUGGGUAACGCCCAGGAGGGGUGACCCUACGGAAAGUGCCACAGAAAACACACAGCCCGCCGUCGUACGCAUAGGGGCACGGCAUGCUGUGCCCUGCUAGCGAAGGCGGGCAACGGUGAAAAGGUGUCCCGAUUCGUCGGGAUCCCGGUCCGCCUCAGGCGGCGCCGGGACGGUAAGAGCGCACCGCCGCGGUGGUGACAUCGCGGGCAUGGCAAACCCCGCCCGGAGCAAGGCCAAAUAGGAGGCGCAUGCGGUGGCCCGCCGCUGCCUCGGGUUGGCCGCUACGAGGAGUCGGGUAACCGGCUCCCUAGAGGAAUGGCCGUCCGCGACAGAAUCCGGCUUAUAGGCCCGCUCCUCAG